GAUAAACGCUGGCGGCGUGCUUCAGGCAUGCAAGUCGAACGGACAGUCCGGCUUCGGCCGAACUGUUAGUGGCGGACGGGUGAGUAACACGUAAGUAACCUGCCCGAAAGUGGGGAAUAACAAGCCGAAAGGCUUGCUAAUACCGCAUGUGAAGGCUCUUCCUCGGAUGGGCCUUGAAAGGUGUAAAUCGCUUUCGGAGGGGCUUGCGGUCGAUUAGCUAGUUGGUGGGGUAAUGGCCUACCAAGGCGACGAUCGAUAGCUGGUCUGAGAGGACGGUCAGCCACAAUGGCA
rnacentral:rRNA from 1 species